AGCCCUAAGUGGGUGGUAAACUCCAUCUAAGGCUAAAUAUGACCACGAGACCGAUAGCGAACAAGUACCGUGAGGGAAAGUUGAAAAGCACUUUGAAGAGAGAGUUCAAGAGUACGUGAAACCGUUCAGGGGUAAACCUGAGAAACCCGAAAGGUCGAAAGGGGAAAUUCAUUCGCGUUUCGACCGUCGAAGCGGAGCGAUCGAGCGACGGACGGGGUACGCGUCGUCCGCGCCUUUCGUUCCGCGAUUCGGCGUCGAACGCGUGCACUUUUCCCCUAGUAGGACGUCGCGAUCCGUUGGGUGUCGGUUUAAGGCCCGCGGUGGAGCCCGAGCGUUCGUCUUCUGGCGUUUCGCUCGAACCCGCGGUGUCCCGGCCGACUCGCUCGACGGUAUACAGAUGGCGCGGGGCCGCUACUUUUAGUGAGCGUUCGACCCGCGGCAAGCGCGUCCGGUAUUUGACGGCGAUCGGACCUAGUGCCGGUCCUGUCUCCGGACGACUGUUGGCUGCGGUGUUCUCGGACAGACCCC
rnacentral:rRNA from 1 species